rnacentral:rRNA from 1 species
UACGUAGGGCGCAAGCGUUGUCCGGAAUUAUUGGGCGUAAAGGGCUCGUAGGCGGUUUGUCGCGUCGGGAGUGAAAACCAUGGGCUUAACUCAUGGCUUGCUUCCGAUACAGGCAGACUAGAGGUAUGCAGGGGAGAACGGAAUUCCUGGUGUAGCGGUGAAAUGCGCAGAUAUCAGGAGGAACACCGGUGGCGAAGGCGGUUCUCUGGGCAUUACCUGACGCUGAGGAGCGAAAGUGUGGGGAGCGAACAGG